rnacentral:pre_miRNA from 1 species
AGUUCUGGAUGCUGUGGAAGACUAGUGAUUUUGUUGUUGAAAAUACAUCAACUGUGACAACAAGUCAUAGUCUACCUCAGUGACCAGGACA